rnacentral:rRNA from 1 species
GAGUUUGAUCCUGGCUCAGGAUGAACGCUAGCGGCAGGCUUAACACAUGCAAGUCGAGGGGUAACAGGGUGCUUGCACCGCUGACGACCGGCGCACGGGUGCGUAACGCGUAUACAAUCUACCUUAUAGAGGGGAAUAGCCCAGAGAAAUUUGGAUUAAUGCCCCAUAGUAUUAUUGAAUAGCAUUAUUUAAUAAUUAAACAUUUAUGGCUAUAAGAUGAGUAUGCGUUCUAUUAGCUAGAUGGUAAGGUAACGGCUUACCAAGGCUACGAUAGGUAGGGGUCCUGAGAGGGAGAUCCCCCACACUGGUACUGAGACACGGACCAGACUCCUACGGGAGGCAGCAGUGAGGAAUAUUGGACAAUGGGCGAGAGCCUGAUCCAGCCAUGCCGCGUGCAGGAAGACUGCCCUAUGGGUUGUAAACUGCUUUUAUACGGGAAGAACCGCACCCUCGUGAGGGUGUUUGACGGUACCGUAAGAAUAAGGAUCGGCUAACUCCGUGCCAGCAGCCGCGGUAAUACGGAGGAUCCAAGCGUUAUCCGGAAUCAUUGGGUUUAAAGGGUCCGUAGGCGGGAUAAUCAGUCAGUGGUGAAAGUCUGCAGCUCAACUGUAGAAUUGCCAUUGAUACUGUUAUCCUUGAGUUAUUAUGAAGUGGUUAGAAUGAGUAGUGUAGCGGUGAAAUGCAUAGAUAUUACUCAGAAUACCGAUUGCGAAGGCAGAUCACUAAUAAUACACUGACGCUGAUGGACGAAAGCGUAGGUAGCGAACAGGAUUAGAUACCCUGGUAGUCUACGCCGUAAACGAUGGUUACUAGCUGUUCGGUACGAUUGAGUACUGAGUGGUUAAGCGAAAGUGAUAAGUAACCCACCUGGGGAGUACGUUCGCAAGAAUGAAACUCAAAGGAAUUGACGGGGGCCCGCACAAGCGGUGGAGCAUGUGGUUUAAUUCGAUGAUACGCGAGGAACCUUACCAAGGCUUAAAUG